UACGUAGGGUGCGAGCGUUAAUCGGAAUUACUGGGCGUAAAGCGUGCGCAGGCGGUUCGUUGUGUCGGUGGUGAAAUCCCCGGGCUUAACCUGGGAACUGCAUUUGUGACUGCAUGGCUAGAGUGCGGCAGAGGGGGAUGGAAUUCCGCGUGUAGCAGUGAAAUGCGUAGAUAUGCGGAGGAACACCGAUGGCGAAGGCAAUCCCCUGGGCCUGCACUGACGCUCAUGCACGAAAGCGUGGGGAGCAAACAGG
rnacentral:rRNA from 1 species